rnacentral:rRNA from 1 species
GUGUACCCGCGGCAAGACGGAAAGACCCCGUGAACCUUUACUAUAGCUUGACACUGAACAUUGAGCCUUGAUGUGUAGGAUAGGUGGGAGGCUUUGAAGUGUGGACGCCAGUCUGCAUGGAGCCGACCUUGAAAUACCACCCUUUAAUGUUUGAUGUUCUAACGUGGACCCGUAAUCCGGGUUGCGGACAGUGUCUGGUGGGUAGUUUGACUGGGGCGGUCUCCUCCUAAAGAGUAACGGAGGAGCACGAAGGUUGGCU